rnacentral:rRNA from 1 species
GACGAACGCUGGCGGCGUGCUUAACACAUGCAAGUCGAACGGUGAACCUCUUCGGAGGGGAUCAGUGGCGAACGGGUGAGUAACACGUGGGCAACCUGCCCCCGGCUCUGGGAUAACUCCAAGAAAUUGGGGCUAAUACCGGAUGUUCACCGCUUCCCGCAUGGGUGUUGGUGGAAAGGGUUUCCGGCUGGGGAUGGGCCCGCGGCCUAUCAGCUUGUUGGUGGGGUAGUGGCCUACCAAGGCGACGACGGGUAGCCGGCCUGAGAGGGUGACCGGCCACACUGGGACUGAGACACGGCCCAGACUCCUACGGGAGGCAGCAGUGGGGAAUAUUGCGCAAUGGGCGGAAGCCUGACGCAGCGACGCCGCGUGGGGGAUGACGGCCUUCGGGUUGUAAACCUCUUUCAGCAGGGACGAAGCGCAAGUGACGGUACCUGCAGAAGAAGCACCGGCCAACUACGUG